rnacentral:misc_RNA from 1 species
GUGAAUCAUCAAAUUUUUGAACGCAAAUUGCGCCUUUUUCGGAAGGCAUGUCUGUUUGAGGGCACCAUUUAACAAAUAAUGUGCAGCGUUUUUGGUGGCCCACGUUAUUGGCCUUUCAAAGAUUUUAAAUUUUUUGAGGGCGAUUAUUAACCGGCGUAAAGGUUUUUUUACGUUGGAGUGAAG